UAGUCCACACCGUAAACGAUGAAUGCCAGACGUCAGCAGGCAUGCCUGUUGGUGUCACACCUAACGGAUUAAGCAUUCCGCCUGGGGAGUACGGUCGCAAGAUUAAAACUCAAAGGAAUUGACGGGGGCCACACAAGCGGUGGAGGAUGUGGCUUAAUUCGAGGAUACGCGAAGAACCUUACCCAGACUUAACAUGCUUGGGAACGUCUGUGAAAGCAGAAAGUGCCUUUCGGGGAACCCUUGCGUAGGUGCUGCAUGACUGUCGUCAGCUCGUGUCGUGAGAUGUCGGGUUAAGUCCCUUAACGAGCGAAACCCUUGUCUUCAGUUGCCAGCACGUAAUGGUGGGGACUCUGAAGAGACUGCCGGUGUUAAACCGGAGGAAGGUGGGGAUGACGUCAAGUCCUCAUGGCCUUUAUGACCAGGGCUGCACACGUCCUACAAUGCAACAUACAAAGGGAAGCGAAAUCGCGAGAUCAAGCAAAUCCCAUAAAGUGUUGCUCAGUUCGGAUUG
rnacentral:rRNA from 1 species